rnacentral:rRNA from 1 species
UACGUAGGGUGCAAGCGUUGUCCGGAAUUAUUGGGCGUAAAGAGCUCGUAGGUGGUCUGUCGCGUCGGCUGUGAAAACUCGGGGCUCAACCCCGAGCUUGCAGUCGAUACGGGCAGACUAGAGUGCGGUAGGGGUGACUGGAAUUCCUGGUGUAGCGGUGGAAUGCGCAGAUAUCAGGAAGAACACCCGUGGCGAAGGCGGUUCUCUGGGACGGUACUGACGCUGAGACGCGAAAGCGUGGGGAGCGAACAGG